rnacentral:rRNA from 1 species
AACGAACGCUGGCGGCAGGCUUAACACAUGCAAGUCGAGCGCACCGCAAGGGGAGCGGCAGACGGGUGAGUAACACGUGGGAACAUACCCAUCUCUGCGGAACAACUCCGGGAAACUGGAGCUAAUACCGCAUACGCCCUUCGGGGGAAAGAUUUAUCGGAGGUGGAUUGGCCCGCGUUGGAUUAGCUAGUUGGUGGGGUAAAGGCCUACCAAGGCGACGAUCCAUAGCUGGUCUGAGAGGAUGAUCAGCCACAUUGGGACUGAGACACGGCCCAAACUCCUGCGGGAGGCAGCAGUGGGGGAUAUUGGACAAUGGGCGGAAGCCUGAUCCAGCCAUGCCGCGUGAGUGAUGAAGGCCUUAGGGUUGUAAAGCUCUUUCACCGAUGAAGAUAAUGACGGUAGUCGGAGAAGAAGCCCCGGCUAACUCUGUGCCAGCCGCCGCAGUAA